rnacentral:lncRNA from 1 species
UUCGGACUCAACAAUCACCAGGUAUUCAUAAUACAUACACUCCGAAUUUAUACAUAAUAUAUUAUGCAUUUUUUAUGCAGGAAUAUUACAUACAUUAAUUAUAUCCUUUCUGGCACAAUAGUUGCCAGUUAUACUACUGUCAUAUAGGAGUAGUAUACUUCACGGGAACACCGUUUUUCUUCUCGGUUCAUUGAAAAACUACCUUUUUCUUGUAGAGCAACGGUCUGUUUAUUCAUAUAUAUAUAAACCUUUCACUUCAGUACUUUUGGAUCCGUCAUUGGCACAGAUAAUUCUUCAUUGAGCCAUGACGAACAGUAAGCACGCCUUUAAACCUCAGUUGCAGGGGUAUUUCUUUCUUCCGCAGUUAUGGCAACCGGGGUCAGAUUCAGAACAUGGCAAACCAGUAAGUACGUUCACCUCCAUCUUCUUCACCAUUUGGCCUGCCUGCUGCCCAUCAUCUCCCGCCAAUUUCCUCGCCGAAGCUGCAGCAGCAGAGGAUGUAAUCACCAGUAGGACGAACACAAGGACUGUAGCCGCCUUCAUGCUUCAGAAGUCGUGGUAUAGAUCUGCGUGGCAAAGAAUCCAAUAUUGAGGAAAUGGGCGUACGGAAAAGAUACAAAUUAGAACAUAGGGGAAUUCGAAGGAUGAAUGGCUUGGAAUAUUCUUAGAUCGAACCUGAGUGCCUUUGCUUAAUUGUGUUUAAUCUUGAGGUAAGUU